AGCCAUAUCAUGUUGAAACAUUGAUUCUCGUACAAUCACCAAAGUUAAACAAUGUUGAGCCUGGUCAGUACCAAGAUGGGUAACCACUUAGGAAUAUCAGGUGCUGUAAG